UACGUAGGGUGCGAGCGUUAAUCGGAAUUCCUGGGCGUAAAGCGUGCGCAGGCGGUUUUGUCAGGCGGAUGUGAAAUCCCCGGGCUUAACCUGGGAAUGGCAUUCGGGACUGCAAGGCUGGAGUGCGGCAGAGGAGACUGGAAUUCCUGGUGUAGCAGUGAAAUGCGUAGAUAUCAGGAGGAACACCGAUGGCGAAGGCAGGUCUCUGGGCUGACACUGACGCUCAUGCACGAAAGCGUGGGGAGCAAACAGG
rnacentral:rRNA from 1 species